rnacentral:tRNA from 1 species
CCCCCCGUGGCGGAAUGGCAGACGCAGCGGACUUAAAAUCCGCAGCCCGCAAGGGCAUCCCGGUUCGACCCCGGGCGGGGGGACCA